rnacentral:rRNA from 1 species
AGCCCGGCUUCGGCCGGUCACUCUAGUGGCGGACGGGUGAGUAACGCGUGGGAACCUGCCCUUCAGUUCGGAAUAACCACGGGAAACUGUGGCUAAUACCGUAUACGCCCUCCGGGGGAAAGAUUUAUCGCUGAAGGAUGGGCCCGCGUCGGAUUAGCUUGUUGGUAGGGUAACGGCCUACCAAGGCAACGAUCCGUAGCUGGUCUGAGAGGACGAUCAGCCACACUGGGACCGAGACACGGCCCAGACUCCUACGGGAGGCAGCAGUGGGGAAUAUUGGACAAUGGGGGCAACCCUGAUCCAGCAAUGCCGCGUGUGUGAAG